UCGAACGAAACACCUUAUUUGAUUUUCUUCGGAACUGAAGAUUUGGUGAUUGAGUGGCGGACGGGUGAGUAACGCGUGGGUAACCUGCCCUGUACAGGGGGAUAACAGUCAGAAAUGACUGCUAAUACCGCAUAAGACCACAGCACCGCAUGGUGCAGGGGUAAAAACUCCGGUGGUACAGGAUGGACCCGCGUCUGAUUAGCUGGUUGGUGAGGUAACGGCUCACCAAGGCGACGAUCAGUAGCCGGCUUGAGAGAGUGAACGGCCACAUUGGGACUGAGACACGGCCCAAACUCCUACGGGAGGCAGCAGUAGGGAAUAUUGCACAAUGGGGGAAACCCUGAUGCAGCGACGCCGCGUGAGUGAAGAAGUAUCUCGGUAUGUAAAGCUCUAUCAGCAGGGAAGAAAAUGACGGUACCUGACUAAGAAGCCCCGGCUAACUACGUGCCAGCAGCCGCGGUAAUACGUAGGGGGCAAGCGUUAUCCGGAAUUACUGGGUGUAAAGGGUGCGUAGGUGGUAUGGCAAGUCAGAAGUGAAAACCCAGGGCUUAACUCUGGGACUGCUUUUGAAACUGUCAGACUGGAGUGCAGGAGAGGUAAGCGGAAUUCCUAGUGUAGCGGUGAAAUGCGUAGAUAUUAGGAGGAACAUCAGUGGCGAAGGCGGCUUACUGGACUGAAACUG
rnacentral:rRNA from 1 species